AGUGAACGCUGGCGGUAGGCCUAACACAUGCAAGUCGAACGGCAGCACAGUAAGAGCUUGCUCUUACGGGUGGCGAGUGGCGGACGGGUGAGGAAUACAUCGGAAUCUACUUUUUCGUGGGGGAUAACGUAGGGAAACUUACGCUAAUACCGCAUACGACCUACGGGUGAAAGCAGGGGAUCUUCGGACCUUGCGCGAUUGAAUGAGCCGAUGUCGGAUUUGCUAGUUGGCGGGGUAAAGGCCCACCAAGGCGACGAUCCGUAGCUGGUCUGAGAGGAUGAUCAGCCACACUGGAACUGGGACACGGUCCAGACUCCUACGGGAGGCAGCAGUGGGGAAUAGUGGACAAUGGGCGCAAGCCUGAUCCAGCCAUACCGCGUGGGUGAAGAAGGCCUUCGGGUUGUAAAGCCCUUUUGUUGGGAAAGAAAAGCAGCAGGUUAAUACCCCGCUGUUCUGACGGUACCCAAAGAAUAAGCACCGGCUAACUUCGUG
rnacentral:rRNA from 1 species